rnacentral:rRNA from 1 species
UACGUAGGGUGCAAGCGUUGCCCGGAUUUAUUGGGCGUAAAGGGCGCGUAGGCGGGAUGGCAAGUCGGUCGUGAAAUCCCUCGGCUCAACCGAGGAACGUCGAUCGAUACUGCUGUUCUUGAGGAUUGCAGAGGAGACUGGAAUUCCCGGUGUAGCGGUGAAAUGUGUAGAGAUCGGGAGGAACACCGGUGGCGAAGGCGGGUCUCUGGGCAAUUCCUGACGCUGAGGCGCGACAGCGUGGGGAGCAAACAGG